UACGUAGGGGGCAAGCGUUAUCCGGAAUUACUGGGUGUAAAGGGUGAGUAGGCGGCAUGGUAAGCCAGAUGUGAAAGCCUUGGGCUUAACCCGAGGAUUGCAUUUGGAACUAUCAAGCUAGAGUACAGGAGAGGAAAGCGGAAUUCCUAGUGUAGCGGUGAAAUGCGUAGAUAUUAGGAAGAACACCAGUGGCGAAGGCGGCUUUCUGGACUGAAACUGACGCUGAGGCACGAAAGCAUGGGUAGCGAACAGG
rnacentral:rRNA from 1 species